GUUUCAACACUAUAGCAACUAAGAAAUGUGUCAAACUUUGGAGUUAGGAAACCAUAUAUAAUCACAUUUCCUGAGAGAAUCUGUACUUAAGAUAGCCUAGUUUUCCUAAAUGUACUUGCCUCAGUAUUCUAAUUCGUGAUUGGGAACAUAUGACAGCAGACCUGGACCUCUAGGGAGUGAAUGAUUCCAGAGAAGAUGCUUAUAGGACAAGACGAGCCCUUUGGAGGGGCUGCUCCUUUGAAAUCUUGCCUCCAUACGCUCUAUGCCACCUUGUCCAACCCAAUCCUAGUAGAAUGCUAAAGGAGGUCUUCCCUGAGCAUUGGCUGCCAAGGCAGAGCCCAUGGGCAGCUGCAGGAAGGGGCCUCUGAUGGACACCUCUCAGAGAAGAGACCCAAGCAGCUCGCACAUUGGCUGGGCCCUGUCAGGUUUACCUUGCAAUGACCAUUGUGCCGUCAUAUGGAGUCACAACCUUGAGGGGUAAUAUUGUUUGGCUGAGAGGGGCAGGGGGUUGAGAAAUGGCACCGAUUUGGGGGCUGGCCAUACCGCCUCCGUCAUGCGUCAGCCUUCUACUACUAUUUGGUUUCCUCGUUUGGGGGCUUUGGCUGCUCUUCUCUGGGAGACAGAGCAGGGAGCAGGUGGCAGCCAAGAGAGCCUCAGAGACUUCAAAGCAGCAAAAAUUGAAAAAGCUCCAGAAACUCACAGCUUCCCAGUGGGAAGAAAAUCUUAGGAUGAGCUGCUCUGAAGCUAA